UACGUAGGGGGCAAGCGUUAUCCGGAUUUACUGGGUGUAAAGGGAGCGUAGACGGCGAUGCAAGCCAGAUGUGAAAGCCCGGGGCUCAACCCCGGGACUGCAUUUGGAACUGUGUGGCUGGAGUGUCGGAGAGGCAAGUGGAAUUCCUAGUGUAGCGGUGAAAUGCGUAGAUAUUAGGAGGAACACCAGUGGCGAAGGCGGUCUGCUGGACAGCAACUGACGGUGAGGCGCGAAAGCGUGGGGAGCAAACAGG
rnacentral:rRNA from 1 species